rnacentral:snoRNA from 1 species
GGCCUCCUGGUGCUUACCAGGCUGUCUUUACACUAAUUAUAUAGAAAGAGAAGGGAAAGUAUAUACAGCUUAGCCCAGGCCCUGUGCCUGGUCUGUAUUGUGAUUGGGAAGACACAG